rnacentral:rRNA from 1 species
GUGACCUCGGAUCAGGUAGGAAUACCCGCUGAA